ensembl:processed_transcript 4930417H01Rik RIKEN cDNA 4930417H01 gene
AAUCUUCAUUGUGUGCACAGAAACACAGCCAGAGGCUGGCUGGCUUCCUUUGGAACCUCUGCUCUUUAGCCACCAGCUGUCUGUCUUCUGAUGGGAAUCCUGCCUCUAGUGACCUCCUUACCUCAGUAGAUAAUUUGUCUACCUGUUAAUGAUUCUGCUUCUUGGACUACGUCCCAGUAGAUGCCAUGCUUUCAGCCUGAUGAAUGUCAAAAUGGCUGAACACUGUUGAAAAGAUGCCUCAUCACUGAGUCAUCUUUGCAAGUACCUUGUGGAAGAGCAAGUGACCACAAAUGUGAACGUGGAGACACUGGCUGUGAAGAUACACAUUUAUUUCUCUGCCUACAAGAAGGAAUAGAAAUAAAGAAACCAAAGUGAACGUGGGCUUUCUGAAGAAUAAUUUUCUUUCAUGCAGUCUGCAGAUACUGAAGUCUGCUGUCUCCUCCCCCGCCACCUCCCCCUUGCCAGUAACUGCAGCUGCUGAGAUACAGUUGAGUUUGUGGUACAACCAGUUUCCUCACCUUUACACACUGAACUGUCAGUCUUUUCUCUUCUCCUCCGGAGUGUACUUGUCUUGGGCAACUGUCAAUUAACAUCCCUCCCUGGCUCCCUUACUGCUCCAGGCUCUUCCUUCAUUGUUCUGUGCAGGCCUCACAGAGCCCAACCCCAGCCAAGUUAGACUUCAGUCAGAGAAUCAGAAACAAAACCAGUGUCUGCCAGGAGACACUCUCUCUGCCUGGGAAUUCCUCCCCAUUGGGAGAAGUCUAUGUCAUCUCCCUCCACCUACGGUGGGAAAGUGUUGAGUUUGUUAGGCUGAGUGAGGGAUUAUGGCCAGGAACAUUGGUCACCUUAGAGCAUCCACACUGGAGGGUAUGUUCUCAGCAGAGGUGAUGACUGCCUGAUAGCUGUGUAUUAUGGAGUUCUCUCCCUUGACCCUCCCCAUCUAUAUGCUCUGUCCCAACCCCACAGAUUCAUGUGUUUGAACACCUGGUCCCCAGCUGGUAGCACUGUUUUGGGAAAUUACUUAAUCUGUGGGAGGUGAGGCAUGCCUGAUAGGGUACAUUGUUAGAGGUGGGUCUUUGAGGGUUAGGAUCUGGCCUUACUUUCUCUUCUGUUUUCUGCUUUCUUCUACAUCAUCACAGACUUCUAAUGCUUCAGAGCCAUCCUGCCAUGUCUGCCCCACCCUGAUGGACUAAAAUUUCUGAAACCAGGAGUCAAAUUAAACUUUUUUCCCCUCUUC